UCUGCUCCGUGGUGCACUACCCCAGCAAAGCCUCUCGGAAGACUCACAUUCAAAACCCGCUGAGCUCUGCCUGACCAAAGGUUGCCAAACCUGUUUGCUUCCUCCUUGCUGUGUAGCAUCCUAUGGAGUUAUGGGAAAGGCUGGGGUAGACACCAUUGGUAAGUAGAUAGCUGUUGGUCUUACCCGUUGUAAGGACGCGGCCUUUUAAGAAAUGGAUGGCCAGGCACCCCCCAGAAGCCACCAAGACCCUUCCCCCACCAUGGACAAGGCAUGAAAGGGAGGGAGGAAAUUCUUCCAGGGAGGAAGGGUCUGUGUGGGUCAGGAUGGCUGGAAGAGAUGGGUCAGUUUGACCCUAAUGGAGAGAGAGUGUGAAGAGGGGGACCAGGGUGAAGCUGGGGAAGUCAAGUGUGGAGGGCCCUACCUGGUGGUGUAGCAGAUCCUAGUGAUUGAUUGAUUCAUUGUGAAAGAAACAGGAGAUGCCAGGGCUGAAGAUGAUCCUACUAACGGGGCCUGGAGCCAUGGUAGAAAUAUUUACAGAAACAGGAAGGCCCCUGGGGAACAACUUUCAGAGCGUCAAAACCAUGUUCUCAUCAUGUUGAAAUACCCCAACUUAUCUUUAUUAACCAGUGCUGAGGGCCCCAUCUAAAAACCCAUUGUGAGAAUUGAAUUUUCCACCCUACCUUGAACAGUUAAAAAUCAGAUUUGUCUGACUUCUAAUUUUAGAAGGAACCGGGCUGACCUUCAUUCCGCUGUUGCUAACUGGAGCCCUGUUACCUGGGUGACUAGAUUUACAAUAUGUCAGUAUGCAAAUACCAUCUGCCCAAGAGGAAGAGCGAGAGAGCCCUUGCUCCUGCAGGGUGGUCAGCAGUUCUGCGAACGUCUCCUCCUCUGGGAACAGGGUGGGGGCCUGGGGCUGGGGCCUGGCCGAGGAGCAGAGAUGCAGAGAGGAAGAUGUGACGCUCUGCUGUCUCCUUCCUUGUUUAAAAAAAAAUUCUUCCUAG
rnacentral:lncRNA from 1 species